AUUGAACGCUGGCGGCAGGCCUAACACAUGCAAGUCGAACGGUAACAGGAAACAGCUUGCUGUUUCGCUGACGAGUGGCGGACGGGUGAGUAAUGUCUGGGAAACUGCCUGAUGGAGGGGGAUAACUACUGGAAACGGUAGCUAAUACCGCAUAACGUCGCAAGACCAAAGAGGGGGAGCUUCGGGCCUCUUGCCAUCGGAUGUGCCCAGAUGGGAUUAGCUAGUAGGUGGGGUAACGGCUCACCUAGGCGACGAUCCCUAGCUGGUCUGAGAGGAUGACCAGCCACACUGGAACUGAGACACGGUCCAGACUCCUACGGGAGGCAGCAGUGGGGAAUAUUGCACAAUGGGCGCAAGCCUGAUGCAGCCAUGCCGCGUGUAUGAAGAAGGCCUUCGGGUUGUAAAGUACUUUCAGCGGGGAGGAAGGGAGUAAAGUUAAUACCUUUACUCAUUGACGUUACCCGCAGAAGAAGCACCGGCUAACUCCGUG
rnacentral:rRNA from 1 species